UACAGAGGGUGCAAGCGUUAAUCGGAAUUACUGGGCGUAAAGCGUGCGUAGACGGUUACAUAAGUCGGAUGUGAAAGCCCAGGGCUCAACCCUGGAAGUGCACUCGAUACUGUAAGGCUCGAGUACUGGAGAGGUUGGUGGAAUUCUCGGUGUAGAGGUGAAAUUCGUAGAUAUCGAGAGGAACACCGGUGGCGAAGGCGGCCAACUGGACAGAUACUGACGCUGAGACACGAAAGCGUGGGGAGCAAACAGG
rnacentral:rRNA from 1 species